UAGUAGCGGCGAGCGAAGCGGGAAGAGCUCAAAUUUGUAAUCUGGCACCUUCGGUGUCCGAGUUGUAAUCUCUAGAAGUGUUUUCCGCGUUGGACCGCACACAAGUCUGUUGGAAUACAGCGGCAUAGUGGUGAUACCCCAUUACACGGUGCGGACGCCCAGCGCUUUGUGAUACACUUUCGACGAGUCGAGUUGUUUGGGAAUGCAGCUCAAAUUGGGUGGUAAAUUCCAUCUAAAGCUAAAUAUUGGCGAGAGACCGAUAGCGAACAAGUACCGUGAGGGAAAGAUGAAAAGCACUUUGGAAAGAGAGUUAAAAGUACGUGAAAUUGUUGGAAGGGAAACGCUUGAAGUCAGACUUGCUUGCCGGGCUUGCUCGGUUUGCAGGCCAGCAUCAGUUUUCCGGGGCGGAUAAUGGCAGUUAGAAUGUAGCAGUCUCGGCUGUGUUAUAGCUUUCUGCUGGAUACGUCCUGGGGGACUGAGGAACGCAGCGUGCCGUAUGGCGAGGGCUUCGGUCCUUUCACGCUUAGGAUGCUGGUGGAAUGGCUUUAAACGACCCGUCUUGAAACACGGACCAAGGAGUCUAACAUGCUUGCGAGUAUUUGGGUGUCAAACCCGGAUGCGUAAUGAAAGUGAAUGGAGGUGGGAAGCGCAAGCUGCACCAUCGACCGAUCUGGAUUUUCUAAGAUGGAUUUGAGUAAGAGCACGUAUGUUGGGACCCGAAAGAUGGUGAACUAUGCCUGAAUAGGGCGAAGCCAGAGGAAACUCUGGUGGAGGCUCGUAGCGGUUCUGACGUGCAAAUCGAUCGUCAAAUUUGGGUAUAGGGGCGAAAGACUAAUCGAACCAUCUAGUAGUCGGUUCCUGCCGAAGUUUCCCUCAGGAUAGCAGAAACUCACAUCAGUUCUAUGAGGUAAAGCGAAUGAUUAGAGGCCUUGGGGUUGAAACAACCUUAACCUAUUCUCAAACUUUAAAUG
rnacentral:rRNA from 1 species